rnacentral:rRNA from 1 species
CCUACGGGAGGCAGCAGUAAGGAAUAUUGGUCAAUGGAGGCAACUCUGAACCAGCCAUGCCGCGUGCAGGAAGAAGGCCCUAUGGGUCGUAAACUGCUUUUGUACCAGAGAAAACCACAGUACGUGUACUGUGUUGAUAGUAUGGUAAGAAUAAGCAUCGGCUAACUUCGUGCCAGCAGCCGCGGUAAGACGAAGGAUGCAAGCGUUAUCCGGAUUCAUUGGGUUUAAAGGGUGCGUAGGCGGACUGAUAAGUCAGUGGUGAAAUCUCUCAGCUUAACUGAGAAACUGCCAUUGAUACUGUUAGUCUAGAGUAUAGAUGACGUUGGCGGAAUAUGACAUGUAGUGGUGAAAUACUUAGAUAUGUCAUAGAACACCGAUUGCGAAGGCAGCUAACGAAACUAUAACUGACGCUGAGGCACGAAAGUGCGGGGAUCAAACAGGAUUAGAUACCCUGGUAGUCCGCACCGUAAACGAUGAUUACUCGUUGUUGGCAAAUAUGACCGUCAGCGACCAAGCGAAAGCGAANAAGUAAUACACCGCGGAGGACGCCGGCCGACGACGAACGACGAAGAAGUAGAGGACGAGAGGAGNGCGACGGACGACGACGAGGGAGGAGG